GAGUUGUCUCCCAGAGCUCCAUGGAAUUUCCUUUCUCUGCUUUAAUGUACUUUUAAAAGAUAACAAGAGUAAUCCACAGACUUAAAACAUGAGCUCAGAUGCCAGCCAAGGUGUGACUAUGGGUUCCCAUCAAAAAUGGAAGGUUGGCGAAAUUGAGUUUGAAGGGCUUAUGAGGACUCUGGACAACUUGGGGUAUAGAACAGGCUAUGCUUACAGGCAUCCUCUCAUUCGAGAGAAGCCUAGGCACAAGAGUGAUGUGGAAAUCCCAGCAACUGUGACUGCUUUUUCCUUUGAAGAUGAUACAGUGCCACUCUCUC
rnacentral:sRNA from 1 species